CUUGUCUGGUUAUAAUAGUCGUAGAUGUGGUUGUAUAUAGGAAUUAGGUUGUAGCUCCAGCGUUAGAGGUAAUAGUUAUUCUUGAGAGGUUAUUUUAAUGCGACAAUAGGGAUUCCAUAGAAUUAGAAAAAAGGUAUUUAUAUCCUAGAAUUUAAGUUAUUAGUUUCAAUUUUUAAUUCUUCGAAUAUAUAAGAGUAUAGUGGGGUUGUUUUAUUAUUUUAAUUAUUUUGUAUUGUUUUUAUUGAUUUAAUUAUUAUUAUUUUAGUAAUAUUUCUAGAUAUCCCAGAAUAGCAGGGAAUAAUUGUAAAUUCGGAAAAUUGAAUUUUCAUUUUAAGUUAAUUAAUUAAUCUCUGUGAUUAAUAAAGCAGUUUGGUAAGUAAGGUCAAAAGUUAAUUUUUUGAUUACUAAUACGAUGGAAACGUGCCAGUUAUAUGGCGCCGGGAAGUUUAUAAAAUGAGUCACCUGUCUGGGCUGAAGGUUAUAAUAUAGUUCUUC
rnacentral:rRNA from 1 species